rnacentral:rRNA from 1 species
CCUACGGGGUGCAGCAGGCGCGAAAACUUCACACUGGGGGCAACCCCGAUGAGGGAAUUCCUAGUGCUAGCUCUUUUUGAGUUAGCUUUUCUUUAGCGUAGAUAACUAAAGGAAUAAGGGCUGGGUAAGACGGGUGCCAGCCGCCGCGGUAAUACCUGCAGCCCAAGUGGUGGCCGAUAGUAUUGAGUCUAAAACGUUCGUAGCCGGUCUGAUAAAUCUUUGGGUAAAUCGGGAAGCUUAACUUUCCGACUUCCGAGGAGACUGUCAGACUUGGGACCGGGAGAGGCUAGAGGUACUUCUGGGGUAGGGGUAAAAUCCUGUAAUCCUAGAAGGACCACCGGUGGCGAAGGCGUCUAGCUAGAACGGAUCCGACGGUGAGGGACGAAGCCCUGGGGCGCAAACGGGAUUAGAUACCCCCGUAGUCC